rnacentral:rRNA from 1 species
UCGGGAAUUGUGGGCAAUGGGCGAAAGCCUGACCCAGCAACGCCGCGUGAAGGAUGAAAUCCUUCGGGAUGUAAACUUCGCAAGAACGGGAAGAAUAAGUAAGAGUUAAUAUCUCUUACGAUGACGGUACUGUUUGUAAGCUCCGGCUAACUCCGUGCCAGCAGCCGCGGUAAUACGUAGGGUGCAAGCGUUAAUCGGAAUUACUGGGCGUAAAGCGUGCGCAGGCGGUUUUGUAAGUCUGUCGUGAAAUCCCCGGGCUCAACCUGGGAAUUGCGAUGGAGACUGCAAGGCUAGAAUCUGGCAGAGGGGGGUAGAAUUCCACGUGUAGCAGUGAAAUGCGUAGAGAUGUGGAGGAACACCGAUGGCGAAGGCAGCCCCCUGGGUCAAGAUUGACGCUCAUGCACGAAAGCGUGGGGAGCAAAC